AUGAAUAGAAGGGGUCACGAGGCCAUUAUAUGUAACAUUAACAGUUCAUCUGCAUCAUCGCAGAGUUACCAACUUGAUAACAAUAUCAAUGAUCUAUUUCUCACUUUCCGUUGCCAUUGUACACGCAAAGCUAUACGAUGCCUUGAUGUCCUACUUGAAGACAUUGAUGUUGUGAAAGCAAUUGAGAACUUGGUGGUUGGUGCACCAUCGAGGCAUGGGUUUAUUCGGUCUCCAUUUGUAAGAGGAAGAGGCAUGGAUGGAAUGUCAUGCCUGGACUUCCCAGAAUCAGAUACAGACAUAUCAUUUGAUGAAGCAGCAGAAGCUGAUAUGAGGAGGCUGAAGCUCAAGUUAAAGCAAACGAUGGAAAUGUACAGUAAAGCAUGCAAACAAGCACUUUCAUCACAGCAGAAGCGACUUGAGGAAGAAAAAAAAUACAAGCUGCGAUUGGAUCAGGAAGCUGCAAUGGCAAUUGCAGAGAAAGAGAAAGCAAGAUGUAGAGCAGCCAUGGAAAUUGUUGAAGCAUCUAAGAAAAUUGCGGAGGAAACACAGAGAAGAGCGGGUGCUGAAGUUAAAGCUCUUAAAGAAGCAGAGGAAAUGAGGAAGCUAUUGGACAAUCUAGCCCUAACUGAUGUAAGAUAUAGGAGAUACUGUAUAGAGGAGAUUGAAGCAGCCACGAACUACUUUUCUGAACUCCAUAAAAUUGGGGAAGGAGGUUAUGGCCCUGUUUAUAAAUGUUAUCUUGAUCACACUCCAGUUGCUGUCAAGGUUCUACGUCCAGAUGCUUCUCAAGGGAAGUCACAGUUUCAGCAAGACAUUGACAUACUGAGCUGCAUGAGACACCCAAACAUGGUGCUUCUUCUAGGAGCGUGUCUGGAGUAUGGCAUAUUGAUUUAUGAAUAUAUGGCUAAUGGAAGCUUAGAAGAUUGUCUGUUUAAAAAAAAAAAAAAAAGAACAAGCGUGUUUUGUCUUGGCAGCUGAGGUUCCGAAUUGCUGCAGAGAUAGGGACGCGCUUACUAUUCCUGCAUCUGACCAAGCCUGAACCUUUAGUGCACCGUGAUCUGAAACCAGGGAACAUUUUGCUGGACCAGAAUUAUGUGAGUAAGAUAAGUGAUGUUGGAUUGGCAAGGCUUGUUUCGGCUGUAGCUGAAAAUGUAACACAAUGCUGCAUGACAUCAGCAACUGAAACAUUUUGUUAUAUUGAUCCCAAGUAUCAGCAAACAGGAAUGCUUGGUGUGAAGUCGGAUGUUUAUUCUCUGGGGAUCAUAUUUCUACAAUUAUUGACAGGAAGGGCUCCAAUGGGAUUGGCUCACCAUGCUGAAGAAUCUAUAGAGAAGGAUAGCUUCGUGCAAAUGCUGGACCCAUUUAUUACUGACUGGCCUCUUGAACAAGCCUUGUGCCUUGCAAAAAUAGCAGUCAAGUGUGCGGAACUCAGGCGAAAAGAUAGGCCUGACCUUGCCAAACUAGUAUUGCCAGAGCUAGAUAAAUUGAGAGACUUCGCUGAACAAAACAUGACCAUGACCAUGCCCAUCAUUUUAGGAUGCACUGCGCCUUCACCCAGCCACAGUGAACCUUCCGUGCAACAGGAUUUGAUCAGUGACCUGCAGCUUGCAUAUUCCGAAAGCUCAUCAGCUCCAUCAAUGCCCACAAAAGGAAAAUCUUAA